UUUAAAAAGAAGACAAGACAAAAGAUAAGAAUUUUAAUGUUAGAAAAUGGUUAAAUUGAAAUUUUACAUGUCUCCUACUUUCCCACCGAUGAUGUAAUUCGUUUCACACCCCCUCCCCCUAUGAAUCCUUUUCAUUGGUCAAAGGGAAAGUAAUUACAAUUUGACCAUUACGUUACAUGGUCUUUUUUCAACCAAACAUAUGAAAGCUUUUCACAACCUCAACUUUCCAGGGAAAGUUGUUACUUUCCCCAUACCAAACGGCCCCCAAGAGUUGGGGAAAACCAAGAGAGGGGCGAGGGUGGCGGAAAGCUGAAGAUCCUCUUCCCUUCUGAGUCCUCCCAAACGCUCUUUCGGAUCGAUGGCGUCAGCAGCCCUAUCUCCUCCUCUGGUGUGCUCUCUUUCUUCACCACCUUUAUCCCCUUCUUUGUCUCCUCUGUUACCCUUCUUCUCUUCGUCCCGGUGACCACCGGUGUCAUUUACAUCGCCACCCGAUCUCCUGAGCUGGCAACCUCGUUUGGGAAAUUAAGUAUUGCCUUGCAACCGCGCAUCUGAAAGGUGGCGCAAUCGUAUGCCUUCGUUGCCUCAACGCCGGUGUCAAAGGUACCAAACCAGACAUGAGAUCCCUUCCGAUUUGGAUCUUUGAUCUCCGCCGCAUACUUCCCCACGGCUGUUGGCUCACUCCACGGUACCUCCUCGUAUCCCGCACUGGCUUCGGCUCUGGCUCCGGUGCUGGUGCUGGUUUCGGUGAAUCAUGCCACUCAACCACGGGUGGUGACUGGUGCAAGAUGGAUAGCGUGGUGGGUCGGUGUUCCGGGUCAGAUCCGAAAUUGAUAAGGGGAGCAAGUAAGUUUGGGAUUCGAUAAUAGUAAGGACCCGCAGCUAAGUCGGUGAGGAAGUCUGGUACCACGAUGGAAUCACCGAGAAUAUGCUUGCGUAUGAGGUCGAGCAUGAAGAAAUCCGAUGCUAGGUUUAAUUACGAGCUAGGUUUUUCUCUAGGGUUUGGGACCGCUCCAGCGCUAACCUCCAUCCAAUCCUAUCUGAAUUCGCUCCAUUUCAGUAUGGUAUUUCGAUUCUAUUGAUAUUUUCUCUUGUUGUUCCUAGGAUUUUCCCCCUUUUUUUCUUUGGUGUGUGUGUGUUGGGAUUCUAGGGUUUGAUUUUUGAUGCACUUGUUUUCAGGUGUGGGGGUUGAUGGAAGCUGUAGGAGCUGAUUUGGAAUUUUGGGGGUGAUUUCGUUUCUAGGUUUUGGAACAAACAAAUGAGGGAAAACAAUGUUACAGAGCAGAUGGGAUACAAUGCGAUGCUCUUCGUGUGAAGCAAAGCACGCAAAACAGGACGAUAAACGUCACGGUCUCCCCCACUGGGGGAAGUCAAGGAUAGGCGCCAGAGUAUCGCUCCACAGUACCUUCACCCAAGAACAAAACAUCGCGUGGAGCAAGGCUCGAACACGCGACCUCCAUGAAACUCUUGGGGACCUGGUACCACUAGGCCAUUAGGCCGGUGGUUGUACAAAUUUUAUAUAAAAUUUUCUUGAACCAAAUGUUUUUAAAUGGUUUAAAAUUUGCUCAUCCAGCUUUGAACAUGAAUUGGUUGAGAACAAAUAUAUUUGUUAGCACAGGCUUCUCUCUACGCAUAGCUUGGAAAGAAUUUUGUUAGUUUUUACCCAUAUUAAUUUCAUGAGUAACGAACAUCAGUUUUCUCACAUCAUGGCUGCAUGUCCUGCAUUUUUUCGCAGGAUCUCCCUUGUGGUUUGUAUGAUGCUGGAGUAACUGAGGCCCUAGAACUUCAUAAGCUUAAAAACCGUCAAUGGGCCAUUUUUAAGAUUUUAUCUAUUAAGGGAGAAGGACUUUUCCAGGGCUUGGGCUGAAACUCGAAGAACAACUGGUUGAUUUAUCGGCAUUGCUUUAUGAUCAUCGGCUGGAGGAAGCACAUCACAAUAGUUUUGAGAUACUCCAAAGCACUUUCUUCACUCAAAGGUUCAUCACCUGAGGCACUACAUGCUGAGGUUAGAGAUUUGCAUCAAACUCUUAGUCAAGUCCAAGAUCGUGAGGAGAGGUUUCAACAAACACUUGGCCAAGUAGAAGAUAAUAACAAGGAGCUUCGACAAAAUUUGCUUGAAAUGAAAGAGAGGGACCAAUACCACACAGGACUCACAACCAUUUACUAGCAAUCAUAAUGUUGACUUAUAAUUGUAUUUGUCGUAUACUUAUUAUUUGUGUUGAACAUAGAUACUUAAACAUUUCU